rnacentral:rRNA from 1 species
GAUGAACGCUGGCGGCGUGCCUAACACAUGCAAGUCGAGCGAUUCUCUUCGGAGAAGAGCGGCGGACGGGUGAGUAACGCGUGGGUAACCUGCCCUGUACACACGAAUAACAUACCGAAAGGUAUGCUAAUACGAGAUAAUAUACUUUUAUCGCAUGGUAGAAGUAUCAAAGCUCCGGCGGUACAGGAUGGACCCGCGUCUGAUUAGCUAGUUGGUAAGGUAACGGCUUACCAAGGCGACGAUCAGUAGCCGACCUGAGAGGGUGAUCGGCAACAUUGGAACUGAGACACGGUCCAAACUCCUACGGGAGGCAGCAGUGGGGAAUAUUGCACAAUGGGCGAAAGCCUGAUGCAGCAACGCCGCGUGAGCGAUGAAGGCCUUCGGGUCGUAAAGCUCUGUCCUCAAGGAAGAUAAUGACGGUACUUGAGGAGGAAGCCCCGGCUAACUACGUGCCAGCCGCCGCCGUAAUAC